UACCUAUAAAAAGUAAAGUUUCCAUUAUUACUAAGAAAAGUUUUCAUUGGUAAUGCAAUAUUCGAAUUUGGCAAAUACCAUAAACAAUUGUAUCAGUCUUGAAGGUGAACCUUUAGACACUCUUCUCGACGGUGAAAACUGAAAACUUGUUUGCUUUGCUAAACAAGGAAGAUCCAAAUAGAGAGGUUAUGACAUUCUUUUGUUUUUUUUUUAUAGAUGAGGAUAAAGCCGAAUAACUUUUUUUUUUUGGUAGUGUAAAGCUGAAUAACUUUGACUUAAUAGACUAAUAGUUAAUGUGUAUUGACAAAUUUCAUAUCUUUUUUUUUGGUAAAGUUGAAAAAAAUAAUUUAAAGUAAGUAAUAUUAAACAAUAAAAACCAUAAUUAGUCUGUAUAAACCAUUAUUACUAAGAAAAAUUUUCCUUGGUAAUGUAAUAUUCUAAUUUUGCAAAUACCAUAAACGAUUGUAUCAGUCUUGAAGGUGAACCUUGCGACACUCUUCUCGACGGUGAAAACUUGUUUGCUUUGCUAAACAAGAAAGAUCCAAAUAUAGAGGUUAUGACAUUCUUUUAUAUUUUCUUUUAUAGAUGAGGAUAAAGCUGAAACUUUGACUUAAUAGUUAAUGUGUAUUGACAAAUUUCAUAUCUUUUUUUUUAGGUAAAGUUGAAAAAAUUAAUUUAAAGUAAGUAAUAUUAAACAAUAAAAACCAU
rnacentral:lncRNA from 1 species